GACGAACGCUGGCGGCGUGCUUAACACAUGCAAGUCGAACGGAAAGGCCCUGCUUUUGUGGGGUUCUCGAGUGGCGAACGGGUGAGUAACACGUGAGUAACCUGCCCUUGACUUUGGGAUAACUUCAGGAAACUGGGGAUAAUACCGGCUAGGAGCUCGUGCAGCAGGGUGGGGGUUGGAAAGUUUCGGCGGUUGGGGAUGGACUCGCGGCUUAUCAGCUUGUUGGGUGGGUAGUGGCUUACCAAGGCUUUGACGGGUAGCCGGCCUGAGAGGGUGACCGGCCACAUUGGGACUGAGAUACGGCCCAGACUCCUACGGGAGGCAGCAGUGGGGAAUAUUGCACAAUGGGCGGAAGCCUGAUGCAGAAACGCCGCGUGCGGGAUGACGGCCUUCGGGUUGUAAACCGCUUUCGCCUGUGACGAAGCGUGAGUGACGGUAAUGGGUAAAGAAGCACCGGCUAACUACGUG
rnacentral:rRNA from 1 species